UACGUAGGUGGCAAGCGUUGUCCGGAAUUAUUGGGCGUAAGGCGCGCGCAGGCGGUUCCUUAAGUCUGAUGUGAAAGCCCCCGGCUCAACCGGGAGGGUCAUUGGAAACUGGGGAACUUGAGUGCAGAAGAGGAGAGCGGAAUUCCACGUGUAGCGGUGAAAUGCGUAGAGAUGUGGAGGAACACCAGUGGCGAAGGCGACUCUCUGGUCUGUAACUGACGCUGAGGCGCGAAAGCGUGGGGAGCAAACAGG
rnacentral:rRNA from 1 species